rnacentral:rRNA from 1 species
UACGAAGGGGGGCUAGCGUUGUUCGGAAUUACUGGGCGUAAAGGGCGCGUAGGCGGCCUGCUAAGUCGAACGUGAAAUCCCCGGGCUCAACCCGGGAACUGCGUCCGAUACUGGCAGGCUUGAAUCCGGGAGAGGGAUGUGGAAUUCCAGGUGUAGCGGUGAAAUGCGUAGAUAUCUGGAGGAACACCUAUUGCGAAGGCAGCUCGCUGGGACGUCACUGACGCUGAGAAGCGAAAGCGUGGGUAGCGAACAGG